rnacentral:siRNA from 1 species
AUACUGUUGGUUUGCUACAUGGUU